GAUGAAGAACGCAGCGAAAUGCGAUAAAUAAUGUGAAUUGCAGAAUUCAGUGAAUCAUCGAGUCUUUGAACGCACAUUGCGCCCCCUGGUAUUCCGGGGGGCAUGCCUGUCCGAGCGUCAUUGCUGCCCUCAAGCACGGCUUGUGUGUUGGGCCCCCGUCCCCCCCUCCCGGGGGACGGGCCCGAAAGGCAGCGGCGGCACCGCGUCCGGUCCUCGAGCGUAUGGGGCUUUGUCACCCGCUCUGUAGGCCCGGCCGGCGCCUGCCGACCACCUUCAAUCUUUUUUCAGGUUGACCUCGGAUCAGGUAGGGAUACCCGCUGAACUUAAGCAUAUCAAUAAGCGGAGGA
rnacentral:misc_RNA from 1 species